rnacentral:miRNA from 1 species
UCACGAACACAAAUGCACUCU